rnacentral:rRNA from 1 species
CCAGAGAACUUUCCAGAGAUGGAUUGGUGCCUUUCGGGAACUCUGAGACAGGUGCUGCAUGGCUGUCGUCAGCUCGUGUUGUGAAAUGUUGGGUUAAGUCCCGCAACGAGCGCAACCCUUAUCCUUUGUUGCCAGCGGUCCGGCCGGGAACUCAAAGGAGACUGCCAGUGAUAAACUGGAGGAAGGUGGGGAUGACGUCAAGUCAUCAUGGCCCUUACGAGUAGGGCUACACACGUGCUACAAUGGCGCAUACAAAGAGAAGCGACCUCGCGAGAGCAAGCGGACCUCAUAAAGUGCGUCGUAGUCCGGAUUGGAGUCUGCAACUCGACUCCAUGAAGUCGGAAUCGCUAGUAAUCGUGGAUCAGAAUGCCACGGUGAAUACGUUCCCGGGCCUUGUACACACCGCCCGUCACACCAUGGGAGUGGGUUGCAAAAGAAGUAGGUAGCUUAACCUUCGGGAGGGCGCUUACCACUUUGUGAUUCAUGACUGGGGUGAAGUCGUAACAAGGUAGGCGUAGAUGA